UACCCGCAGCCCGAGUGGUGGUCGAUUUUAUUGAGUCUAAAACGUUCGUAGCCGGUCUGAUAAAUCCUUGGGUAAAUCGGGAAGCUCAACUUUCCGAAUUCCGAGGAGACUGUUAGACUUGGGAUCGGGAGAGGUAAGAGGUACUUCAGGGGUAGGGGUAAAAUCCUGUAAUCCUUGGAGGACCACCGGUGGCGAAGGCGUCUUACUAGAACGAAUCCGACGGUGAGGGACGAAGCCCUAGGUCGCAAACGGGAUUAGAUACCCCGGUAGUCUAGGGUGUAAACGCUGCAGACUUGGUGUUGGAGGCCCUUCGGGGGCAUUCAGUGCCGGAGAGAAGUUGUUAAGUCUGCUACUUGGGGAGUACGUCCGCAAGGAUGAAACUUAAAGGAAUUGGCGGGGGAGCACCGCAACGGGAGGAGCGUGCGGUUUAAUUGGAUUCAACACCGGAAAACUCACCAAGGGAGACUAUCACAUGAAGGCCAGGCUAAUGACUUUGCCUGAUUCUUA
rnacentral:rRNA from 1 species